rnacentral:rRNA from 1 species
GGCGGACGGGUGAGUAAUGCCUGGGAAAUUGCCCUGAUGUGGGGGAUAACCAUUGGAAACGAUGGCUAAUACCGCAUAANGUCUACGGACCAAAGAGGGGGACCUUCGGGCCUCUCGCUUCAGGAUAUGCCCAGGUGGGAUUAGCUAGUUGGUGAGGUAAUGGCUCACCAAGGCGACGAUCCCUAGCUGGUCUGAGAGGAUGAUCAGCCACACUGGAACUGAGACACGGUCCAGACUCCUACGGGAGGCAGCAGUGGGGAAUAUUGCACAAUGGGCGCAAGCCUGAUGCAGCCAUGCCGCGUGUAUGAAGAAGGCCUUCGGGUUGUAAAGUACUUUCAGUCGUGAGGAAGGCGUUGAAGUUAAUA